CUCGGUAAAACGGGCGGAGCAAGUUCUCAUCCGGGGAUUUACAGCGGACUUGCUGAGAAGGGAACUUUGAAUUGGAACAGGACUUGGACCGCGCGUGAUGACGUUUCACGAGUCCACGAGCACACAAGUCCGCACAACUACACAGAUUGAGAAACGGCCAAACUCUUUUCAGUAAAGUCAGUAACUCCAUGAUGGAUCCUCAUGUUUGUGUCCCGGGAAGAGUGGACGUGGGGCGGGACGUGAGAGGAGGGAGGAGAGGGGCCAGAGAAGCCAGGAGAUUGAGCAAUGUGCUGGAUUGGACUUUGGCUCGAGAGCUCCGUGAAUCUGUGACUGCUGCGCUGGUUUAUAAGUGAGAGGGAGAGGUGGACGGAGGGGACAAGGAGAGAGAGAGAGAGACAGGACACCAGCGGCGGAGGGGACAGAGGGGACACACAGAGGACAGCCUGUGAAGAGGAUGUGGAUGGACACGAAGGCCGACGCGGGGGACAGCAGCAGGGACACGGGGCUGGCUGGGUCCAGAAAGUCCUCCUGUGCACGGGGGACAUGCAGCACCUGGACAAACUCAUGCAGGUCAAAAUCCUGAGUUAGAGGGCCCCCCAGUCCCUCUGCUGCCUGCUCCUGCUCCAGUCUGUGAGCUGCACCUCAAGCUGAGAGAGGAAUGGACUGCAGACAUCACUGAAGUCAAAACUUUAGUUGUUUUGGAAUGGGCCGACACUGCGACAUACCGCGUGCAUCGCAUUGAACUGGAAUGUUUCAAGCGCUUCCAGAUCCUUGCAACAUGGGGCUGUGUGUUAUCGUCACGCUGCAACAUGAGGUGGUGAUCU
rnacentral:lncRNA from 1 species